rnacentral:rRNA from 1 species
UACGGGGGGGGCAAGCGUUGUUCGGAAUUACUGGGCGUAAAGGGCGCGUAGGCGGUUUGUUAAGUUGGAUGUGAAAACUCUGGGCUUAACCCAGAGCCUGCAUCCAAAACUGGCAGGCUAGAGUUUUGGAGGGGGAAGCGGAAUUCCUGGUGUAGCGGUGAAAUGCGCAGAUAUCAGGAAGAACACCUAUGGCGAAGGCAGCUCUCUGGGACGGUACUGACGCUGAGACGCGAAAGCGUGGGGAGCGAACAGG